UUUGCUUUUGGUGGAAAAUGUAGCCUAAUGAGAAAAUCAAGUGGUUUGAAGAAGGUAUGGUUCUGCCUGUGUCCUCUCCCCAGCUGCAAGAUUUUGGAAAAACUGGGACCCAUAUGGAUUUGCAAGAGAACGACUAAGAUUCUUAUGCAUGAAGACUCAUUGAAAAUGUAUAUGUAUAAAAAUAGCAG
rnacentral:lncRNA from 12 species